GGAUGACAAAAUAUGAAAAAUAAAGAAAGAAUAAUGAGUAAGAUAUAUAAAAUGUAGAAAAAAAUGACAUAACAAUUUAAAGAAUACAGAAAUAAACAAUACCCCCAAUCCGGACCCUAAUGGUAUACACGAGAAUCUGGAUGGAAACGCAGAUUCUAAUGCAACAACGUUUGUAACGUUCGUUCAUUUUGAUUGGAUAACGUCACUUUUU
rnacentral:lncRNA from 1 species